rnacentral:rRNA from 1 species
AACGAACGCUGGCGGCAUGCCUAACACAUGCAAGUCGAACGAGACCUUCGGGUCUAGUGGCGCACGGGUGCGUAACGCGUGGGAACCUGCCCUUAGGUUCGGAAUAACUCCCCGAAAGGGGUGCUAAUACCGGAUAAUGUCUUCGGACCAAAGAUUUAUCGCCUUUGGAUGGGCCCGCGUUGGAUUAGCUAGUUGGUAGGGUAAAAGCCUACCAAGGCGACGAUCCAUAGCUGGUCUGAGAGGAUGAUCAGCCACACUGGGACUGAGACACGGCCCAGACUCCUACGGGAGGCAGCAGUGGGGAAUAUUGGAAAAUGGGCGAAAGCCUGACCCAGCAAUGCCGGGUGAGUGAUGAAGGCCUUAGGUUUGUAAAGCUUUUUUCCCCGGGAUGAUAAUGACAGUCCCGGGAAAAUAAGCCCCGGCUAACUCCGU